CACACAUCUGAUGCUCCAUCACUCAAGAGGCUGAGGCAGAGACCGAAGGCUGCCAUGGGUAACAUAGUGAGGCUCUUUCUCAAAUCUUAGUGGAGCAUCCUAGCAUGGUGGCACAUGCCUUCAGUGACAGCACUCAGGAGGGAGAGAUAUGUGGACUGCAGAGCAAACUCAAGUUUUACAGCCUACAGCAGAGUUUAAAGAGACUUUGGAAGUGUACUCAGAGUCUAUAUCCAACAAUAUCCAACCAGGCCAGGCAUGGCUGGUGGCACAUGCCUUUAAUCCCAGGCAGACAGAUCUCUGCGAGUUGAAGGCCAGAAAAAUGAAAGCGCCGAGAAAGAAGUCACUUCUGAGCAUCAAGAUUUGGCUGUGUCUUUGCCUGAUGAGAAGCCAGUGUGGCUCGCAGACAGACAUCAUCCCCUGUACCUGUCACAAGCAAGAAGCAGUUUGAGAAAAAAGAGGAGGAGCUGACCAAAGAGAUCCAGCUGACUACGAGGAGACAAAUGAGCUGAGAGAUCACCUGAGCUACGUGACAGAAGCAUCCAUGAACAAGAAGUCCUACCCUAGGCAAAAUCCUCUUUAUGAAGAAUUGAAGUUAAAGGAGAAGGUGAUCAUGACAUUUCUACACAACUUGGAGAUGAAGAAGAUGGAGGCCCGAGAGAACAAGCAGGAGCUCAAGAAGGAGAAAAAUUUCUAUCGUAACCUGCCCAGCUGGAUCCUGAGGAAGAAGAAUCUUAUAAAGAAGAAGUUGGUAAUAUUGAAGCAGGAGAGCAAGGAAGUACAGGCUGAUUGGGCCAUCAUCCAUCAAUAUUUGGUGGACUUGAACCUGAGUGGUAAAGACUAACAGGAGAAGACCAGCAACCUUGAGACUCAAGAACAUCAGGUCUCAGAAACUGCAAGAUAGCUGGGAUUGGCCACAGCAGAAGAAGAGAGCAUCUUGGAGAAUGAGUUGCCACCCCAGGAGGCCCCUGCUGAACACCAUCCCCAGCGUCCACAAUCUUCCUUGGAUGAAUCUUCUUCCAUAUAAUUCCUUUUCUUAGGGUGAAUAGGCCUUUACUAAGAAGCCAUGGCUGAUUCAGGGUGUUGUUCCCUUUUCUCUUCAGACAACUCCUCUUGACAGAGAACUGAGGCGACUGCACUGCCACCAAGUGUCCAAGAGGAGUAACAGGCUGUAGGUCUGUGCUGCUAAAAGUGCAGAGAGAAAGCAGCUGAACAAUAAUUUUCUGUUAGAAAAGAGAAAGCAGCUGAACAAUAAUUUUCUGUUAGAAAAGAGAAAGCAGCUGAACAAUAAUUUUCUGUUAGAGUUUUGGUUAAAGUUUUGCUUUUUGUUUGAAUUGUUGCAAUGUUAUUUAGAAGUUAUACGUUCUUGUUCUUGUUUUGAAUGGAUUUUUUUUUGCUUUUAACUCUAUAUUAAUUGAACUUUUUUUUGCCUGAC